rnacentral:rRNA from 1 species
UAAGUAAGCUUUGAUCCAGAGAUUUCCGAAUGGGGAAACCCAGCAUGAGUUAUGUCAUGUUAUCGAUAUGUGAAUACAUAGCAUAUCAGAAGGCACACCCGGAGAACUGAAACAUCUUAGUACCCGGAGGAAGAGAAAGAAAAUUCGAUUCCCUUAGUAGCGGCGAGCGAAACGGGAAGAGCCCAAACCAACAAGCUUGCUUGUUGGGGUUGUAGGACACUCUAUACGGAGUUACAAAGGACGACAUUAGACGAAUCAUCUGGAAAGAUGAAUCAAAGAAGGUAAUAAUCCUGUAGUCGAAAAUGUUGUCUCUCUUGAGUGGAUCCUGAGUACGACGGAGCACGUGAAAUUCCGUCGGAAUCUGGGAGGACCAUCUCCUAAGGCUAAAUACUCUCUAGUGACCGAUAGUGAACCAGUACCGUGAGGGAAAGGUGAAAAGCACCCCGGAAGGGGAGUGAAAUAGAACCUGAAACCGUGUGCUUACAAGUAGUCAGAGCCCGUUAAUGGGUGAUGGCGUGCCUUUUGUAGAAUGAACCGGCGAGUUACGAUUUGAUGCAAGGUUAAGCAGUAAAUGUGGAGCCGUAGCGAAAGCGAGUCUGAAUAGGGCGUUUAGUAUUUGGUCGUAGACCCGAAACCAGGUGAUCUACCCUUGGUCAGGUUGAAGUUCAGGUAACACUGAAUGGAGGACCGAACCGACUUACGUUGAAAAGUGAGCGGAUGAACUGAGGGUAGCGGAGAAAUUCCAAUCGAACCUGGAGAUAGCUGGUUCUCUCCGAAAUAGCUUUAGGGCUAGCCUCAAGUGAUGAUUAUUGGAGGUAGAGCACUGUUUGGACGAGGGGCCCCUCUCGGGUUACCGAAUUCAGACAAACUCCGAAUGCCAAUUAAUUUAACUUGGGAGUCAGAACAUGGGUGAUAAGGUCCGUGUUCGAAAGGGAAACAGCCCAGACCACCAGCUAAGGUCCCAAAAUAUAUGUUAAGUGGAAAAGGAUGUGGCGUUGCCCAGACAACUAGGAUGUUGGCUUAGAAGCAGCCAUCAUUUAAAGAGUGCGUAAUAGCUCACUAGUCGAGUGACACUGCGCCGAAAAUGUACCGGGGCUAAACAUAUUACCGAAGCUGUGGAUUGUCCUUUGGACAAUGGUAGGAGAGCGUUCUAAGGGCGUUGAAGCAUGAUCGUAAGGACAUGUGGAGCGCUUAGAAGUGAGAAUGCCGGUGUGAGUAGCGAAAGACGGGUGAGAAUCCCGUCCACCGAUUGACUAAGGUUUCCAGAGGAAGGCUCGUCCGCUCUGGGUUAGUCGGGUCCUAAGCU